GACAGAGGGUGCAAACGUUGUUCGGAAUUACUGGGCGUAAAGCGAGUGUAGGCGGUCUUGAAAGUCGGAUGUGAAAGCCCUGGGCUCAACCCAGGAAGUGCAUUCGAUACUCCAAGGCUAGAGUACUGGAGAGGUGGGUGGAAUUCUCGGUGUAGAGGUGAAAUUCGUAGAUAUCGAGAGGAACACCGGCGGCGAAGGCGGCCCACUGGACAGAUACUGACGC
rnacentral:rRNA from 1 species